UUGAUGCGUUUCUUUAUCGCUGUACUCAGAUGAUGCGGCCGGGGCGGGGCCCCGGGAUCCACUGAAAGGGUUUGCGUGGGUCCCCGGCGGGCGCCUGGUUCCGGGCCCGAGGGCGCCGGGGCGGUACCGCCGAAGCAACGUUGAGGUAUGGUUCACAGUGGGUUUGGGAGUUGUAAACUCGAUAAUGAUCCCUCCGCUGGUUCACCAACGGAGA
rnacentral:misc_RNA from 1 species